rnacentral:rRNA from 1 species
GACGAAGGGGGCUAGCGUUGUUCGGAAUUACUGGGCGUAAAGCGCGCGCAGGCGGCCUUUUAAGUCUGCUGGUGAAAUGCCGGGGCUCAACCCCGUGCCCGCCACAGAUACUGGGAGGCUGGAGACGAGUAGAGGCAAGCGGAAUUCCGGGUGUAGCGGUGGAAUGCGUAGAGAUCCGGAAGAACACCGGAGGCGAAGGCGGCUUGCUGGGCUCGGUCUGACGCUGAGGCGCGAAAGCGUGGGGAGCGAACAGG